rnacentral:rRNA from 1 species
UACGUAGGGUGCGAGCGUUAAUCGGAAUUACUGGGCGUAAAGUGUGCGCAGGCGGCAGAGCAAGUCGAGUGUGAAAGCCCCGGGCUUAACCUGGGAACUGCAUUUGUGACUGCAAGGCUAGAGUACGGUAGAGGGGGAUGGAAUUCGCGUGUAGCAGUGAAAUGCGUAGAUAUGCGGAGGAACACCGAUGGCGAAGGCAAUCCCCUGGACCUGUACUGACGCUCAUGCACGAAAGCGUGGGGGAGCA